rnacentral:rRNA from 1 species
ACGCUGGCGGCAGGCCUAACACAUGCAAGUCGAGCGGUAGAGAGAAGCUUGCUUCUCUUGAGAGCGGCGGACGGGUGAGUAAUGCCUAGGAAUCUGCCUGGUAGUGGGGGAUAACGUUCGGAAACGGACGCUAAUACCGCAUACGUCCUACGGGAGAAAGCAGGGGACCUUCGGGCCUUGCGCUAUCAGAUGAGCCUAGGUCGGAUUAGCUAGUUGGUGGGGUAAUGGCUCACCAAGGCGACGAUCCGUAACUGGUCUGAGAGGAUGAUCAGUCACACUGGAACUGAGACACGGUCCAGACUCCUACGGGAGGCAGCAGUGGGGAAUAUUGGACAAUGGGCGAAAGCCUGAUCCAGCCAUGCCGCGUGUGUGAAGAAGGUCUUCGGAUUGUAAAGCACUUUAAGUUGGGAGGAAGGGCAUUAACCUAAUACGUUAGUGUUUUGACGUUACCGACAGAAUAAGCACCGGCUAACUCUGUGCCAGCAGCCGCGGUAAUACAGAGGGUGCAAGCGUUAAUCGGAAUUACUGGGCGUAAAGCGCGCGUAGGUGGUUUGUUAAGUUGGAUGUGGAAUCCCCGGGCUCAACCUGGGAACUGCAUUCAAAACUGACUGACUAGAGUAUGGUAGAGGGUGGUGGAAUUUCCUGUGUAGCGGUGAAAUGCGUAGAUAUAGGAAGGAACACCAGUGGCGAAGGCGACCACCUGGACUAAUACUGACACUGAGGUGCGAAAGCGUGGGGAGCAAAC